rnacentral:lncRNA from 1 species
ACCCCAGCGGCCCGCCCCGCCUCGCCCCGCCCCGCAGCUGGCCGCUGGCCGGGCGGGCUUUCCUGGACUCUGCUGUCUGCUCCUGAUCCAACAGAUUUCAGAGUCUGGUUUUUCUUUGUUUCCGGAGAGUCCAUUCCAGCAUCUAUUAAACAAGAAUAAGAAGGAAAGAUUCGAAGCAAUAUCCCAAUACCCUUUAGAUUCUAUCAACUGUGAGACACUAUGGAUUUUCAAAGACGGCUGACUGCCUUUCAUGCCUCUGAACUCCGCCCUUCCUUGGCAUGAUGGAGAAGGAAAAUGAACUCAAGACCCACCUAGUACAGCAUCUUAAAUCUAAUUAGGUACCCAAACAAGCGAAUUAUUUGAACUCAACGCAUCCCAAGUUGCAAAAGUGGGCCAAGUCUCUUGGCUCCUAGGACUACAGCUCUGCCUCCUUCAGGAGCUAGAGAGCUGAUGCUCAGGAGAACUGCAGGUAUGUGCCAGGCCCCGGGAAGAAGCACACCCUCCUGUGUAAUGUGAAGGCCACGGUCCAGACUUCAUUCUCCCCGGGUCUCAGGUGGGAAGCUGUUGGGUGAGAGAGGAAGUGUCAGAACAUCAGAUCAGCCUGACUUGGUUGCGAGAGACGGCAGAGGAGCAAAUCUGCCUUCCCGGAGGAAAAACAUCACCGGCCAUCGGUGGAGGGAAUUUGGCUUUUGGUUCCUAACCGGAGAAGACAGCUACCUGUCAAAUGGCGUGGAGUCGACUGGGGAGCCAGUGUGGCUAUGUUCCCACUUAGCGAUGUUUGGUUUUCUCUCCAGAAAUGGACUUUAUUUCCUCUAAAUUCGUAUUGUAGCUCAUCUCAGAUUAAUAAAGUUUUCUCUAUUAAAGGAGGUCCUUAGAGU